rnacentral:rRNA from 1 species
CCUACGGGUGGCUGCAGUGAGGAAUAUUGGUCAAUGGACGAGAGUCUGAACCAGCCAAGUAGCGUGAAGGAUGACUGCCCUAUGGGUUGUAAACUUCUUUUAUAUGGGAAUAAAAUGUUCCACGUGUGGGAUUUUGUCUGUACCAUAUGAAUAAGGAUCGGCUAACUCCGUGCCAGCAGCCGCGGUAAUACGGAGGGUCCGAGCGUUAUCCGGAUUUAUUGGGUUUAAAGGGAGCGUAGGUGGAUUGUUAAGUCAGUUGUGAAAGUUUGCGGCUCAACCGUAAAAUUGCAGUUGAAACUGGCAGUCUUGAGUACAGUAGAGGUGGGCGGAAUUCGUGGUGUAGCGGUGAAAUGCUUAGAUAUCACGAAGAACUCCGAUUGCGAAGGCAGUUCACUGGACUGCAACUGACACUGAGGCUCGAAGGUGUGGGUAUCAAACAGGAUUAGAUACCCUAGUAGUC